AAGAGUAGUGAUAGUAGGGGGGC
rnacentral:tRNA from 1 species